rnacentral:rRNA from 1 species
AUACGGAGGAUGCAAGCGUUAUCCGGCUUUAUUGGGUUUAAAGGGUGCGUAGGCGGGACUGUAAGUCAGGGGUGAAAUACUGCAGCUUAACUGUAGCAUUGCCUUUGAAACUGCCGUUCUUGAGUACAGUUGAGGUAGGCGGAAUGUGGUGUGUAGCGGCGAAAUGCAUAGAUAUACCACAGAACGCCGAUUGCGAAGGCAGCUUACUAAGCUGUUACUGACGCUGAGGCACGAAAGCGUGGGGAUCAAACAGGAUUAGAUACCCUGGUAGUCCACGCUGUAAACGAUGAUUACUGGUUGUUAGCGAUAUAUAGCUAGUGACUGAGCGAAAGCAUUAAGUAAUCCACCUGGGGAGUACGUCGGCAACGAUGAAACUCAAAUGAAUUGACGGGG